rnacentral:lncRNA from 10 species
ACCCCUCAUGAAGCAGGGAGUUUCCUCUUUUAUGGCACAAACCCAGGAGUGGCAUGGCUGGGCCCUACGGUAGCUCCGUGCUUAACCUUUUGGGGACCUGCCAGACUGUCUUCUGCAGCAAGUGAACCAUUUCACGUUCUCACCAGCCGUAAAGGGGAAAGUCUGGGAGGCUCCCGAGACAAGACCAUGGUUUCUUCGUGCUCACAUCUUCAACCUCCAGCAGGUGAACUCAUACAAAUGUGUGCCGAGCGAUACCCCUGACUUGGAGGGGACUCCAGCUGAGGUCAGCCCUGGAGCAGGCCCCCCACGCCCUAUGGAUACUUCCAAGCCCAACUUAGCAAAUACAGCUGGAGGCGUCCAACCUCACCCAGUUGUUCAAGGAGGGACCUUGCCCCUUCCUUUGCCUUUAAGGAUGAACAGAUUUUUUUUCUACUUAGAAACUCAAUGUGUUCCUCUUCUAUCCUAAACACUACUGAUGUUCGGUAAUGCAGACAUGUUUACAUGCUAUUUCUUGUUUUAACAACAUGAAAACAAAAUAAAAAUGAACUAUGAACUGAU